AGCACCCCGGAAGGGGAGUGAAAUAGAUCCUGAAACCGUGUGCCUACAACAAGUCAAAGCUCGUUAAUGAGUGAUGGCGUGCCUUUUGUAGAAUGAACCGGCGAGUUACGAUUGCAUGCGAGGUUAAGUCGAAGAGACGGAGCCGCAGCGAAAGCGAGUCUGAAUAGGGCGAAUGAGUAUGUAGUCGUAGACCCGAAACCAUGUGAUCUACCCAUGUCCAGGUUGAAGGUGCGGUAAAACGCACUGGAGGACCGAACCCACGUACGUUGAAAAGUGCGGGGAUGAGGUGUGGGUAGCGGAGAAAUUCCAAACGAACUUGGAGAUAGCUGGUUCUCUCCGAAAUAGCUUUAGGGCUAGCCUCGGAAUUGAGAAUGAUGGAGGUAGAGCACUGUUUGGACUAGGGGCCCAUCUCGGGUUACCGAAUUCAGAUAAACUCCGAAUGCCAUUCAUUCAUAUCCGGGAGUCAGACUGUGAGUGAUAAGAUCCAUAGUCGAAAGGGAAACAGCCCAGACCACCAGCUAAGGUCCCCAAAUAACUAUUAAGUGGAAAAGGAUGUGGGGUUGCACAGACAACUAGGAUGUUGGCUUAGAAGCAGCCACCAUUUAAAGAGUGCGUAAUAGCUCACUAGUCGAGUGACCCUGCGCCGAAAAUGUACCGGGGCUAAAUAGUUUACCGAAGCUGUGGAGUGCACCAU
rnacentral:rRNA from 1 species